rnacentral:lncRNA from 1 species
GCAGUUCCGUUUCUCCAAUGGCGUCAUGUAUAUAAAGGGACCAUGACGUCAUCCGCGCACAAUUGUUUCUCGGCGUAGCGUAGUGCGGACGUUUGUGUAGUGCGGUGCAACCAAGUUCUACAAAAAUUCCAUUGGGCGUUGUGCCUAAUCGGAUACAGUCCCAUUGCGUUUCGCGUGGGCCUGCAUCCGAUGGCCGCCAUCUUGGUUGCCGCGGGGGCGUGCUCGGAGCUAACUACGAUGUGGGUUUGUAAACGGUAUCAUGCAUUUUAAUUAGUUUUAUAAAUCGUAUAAUUUUAUUGUUGAAUUGUUAGUAAUUUAUUUCAGUUAGCUAUUUUAAAUGGUCGAUUGGAAUUUAAAAUUUUAUUCAUAUUGAAUAAGAAAAUUGUAACUUAUAUUUAAGUCAGAAUGAAAUAAAUGAAUUUAAAACAUAUGAUCAGAAUUUAAUUUCAAUCUCUCUUUUUGUAUUUUUGAAAUUUCACCCAACAUGUAUUAUUCCAUGAGUCAUCGCCGACCGCGCGGACAACAUGGCGGUCGAGAUCCUGACGACUACCUGCGUAGAUUAUAGAACGCUGAGUUGGGAGUUGUGCAUCUCUGCGCUUGCUGCCUUACGAGGCUGCGUAGAACAACCCUGCUUCACACGCUAAUCGAUCUGGUCCGGUACACAGCCCAUAUAGGUAAACGUUAGGUUGCGCAAUAAUAUCCUAACUUGCAUACCUAAUGUCCCGCAAAGGACAUUUUGUUUUGUUGUAUUUCGAGUACAGAUACGAGACCGUAUGCUGGCGAAAUCCGAGCUCGCAGUCGCAGCCAACAACCGGUGAUGCGUAUAGCUUGGAACGCACAAUGAAACGAAAUAUUCGUAAGAUUCCGAUGUAUUUGUAAGAUUUGAUAAUAGGGUGAGUUCCCAUAUAUCUGACAGAUAAUUAGUGGAAGAACUUAAUGUCUUUGAUAGGGCGUGUUGUGUUUCUUUGACCUUUAAACCCAAACAGGCAUUUAGCAUCUGCACAUUACUUCAAACUAGAACAGUGAGAUACUCCACGACACCAAAUAAUUGUUUGCUAGCAGACAAACAUUUUACUGGCUGUUAUAAUCGAAGUCACAAUCUGAAAUUACAAAGGACCAAGGUUUUUAACAAGCAAAAAUGGGCUGAUGUAUCUUUUCACGUGCAACCAAAUAAACAUAAAUCUAUUACGAUACCAGAUAACUUCAUACAAAAUAGUAUUAUACUCCGAACUAUAUCGAAACCAAAAGUAAAUUAAGUAAAGGGAAGCCGAGAGACACUUUAUCAAUGCUUGUCGCCUGGGCGUCGUGGUGAUGCAAGAUCGUUGUAAAACACGUUAUUAUGAGCUCAAUGUGGUGGACCUUCAGGAAGAAGGAAACACUGCUGCUAAAAUCGAUGUCACCACGUCCCACAAAGCAGAUGAGUUGAUCUCUCGCUAACGUAGGCAAAUUCGUGGACACUUGAAUUUAAUGAGAUUUAUUUAAUUAAAUAUCAAAGAUAAAUGAGAACUUUAACAUAGAUGUAGGUAAGUGAAAUAAUUCCAAUGUUGGAAUCAUUUAUACACUUCAAUAAAAUAACACUGAAUCGAUUUAAAAAAAUAUUUAACAAUAGGAUGUAGUGAUGUGUCAAACUUAAGAAUAUUCUUUUUCAAUACCUACUUAAAAUCUGCCGUAUGUACACGGCACGGUAGGGUUAACAGUAUGCCAGUUUUAUUUCAGGUUCACAUGCAUAGCUACCUAAAAUUAUGGUGUAUCAUCACAAUUCAUUUGUAUGAGAUAUACAUGCGUUUAACAGAAUCAUCAAUCACCAUCUUCAAUCAAAUGAGAAUUGACCAAAUAAUAUACAUAGAUUGAUUAUUAGAAAGACAAAAUAUCCGUUGAACAAAUUCGGAUCCCAAUGGAAAUUAUUAUAUAACAUGGAAAAUUGCUUCACCUAAUCAUAUGUUCCUACUUCAUUACGACAACGACACCUAUCAUAUGCAAUGCAAGUAAUCACCAGACGGAGAUUGUACCUCUUCGCGUUGGUGUAAAUUGCUGCUUUAGAUAAUUAAAACUGCAAAAUAAAGGUUAAACCACAUUGAAUGGUGACACAUUUGGAUGAGUUAUGCAACUACGCGCUGCGAGAGCUUGGUUGAAAGAGAAUUACGUUAUGAGCGAUUGCACAAGUAUGUACGACGUAAUAAUCGUAACCAAGGUUUGAUAGUAUUAAAAUUUAAUUUCAUAAGGUUGUGAUCUAAUUUCGUUCAUACGUGCCAGCUGUAGUCAUAUUAUCUGUUAGCUGAAAAGUGUGCAAUUAUAUUUUGGUUAUAAACAGUUAAUGCAUGAACGGUUAGGCACUUUAUUACACUAGUAGACAAUUCUUUGAAUUUUUUAUAAUACAUACAUACAUAUAUAAUUAACAACGAUAAUGACAGUUAACUGUCGGUAAUAUAAUCGGCGUGAAAACGCCUUGUAUGCACUGCCAUUGUUUAGGCUGCUGAUAAUCCUGAGCGUCUGGCAUCUUUUGGUGCUUUGCUGGUUUGGCGAAGGUGGCAGGCUUAAAGGCAAAGUUCUGAAAGCACAUAGCAAGUGGAAUGUUCAAUUGUUCUCGAAGAUCAAGUGAUACGGUCCUGUCUGCUACGUAUGCACGUUUGCUUGACAAUUAUCAUCCCUUGCUGGCGUCAGCGGUGUUCGGUUGCAGUGCUUGAUCUCUGUUUUUAAGGGUUUGUACUCGCUAAGUAGCCGUGCAUUCGAAGUCAAAUAAACAAGCUUUCGUCUAACAAAUUAAGACUUAUGUAGGUACAAAUUAAUAGUCAACAAGUAUUAUAAAAAUACAUUUCUUUUUUAGAUCGAAAUGAAAUGUGUUCUCGUAAUAAUUAAUGAAAAAAGCAAUUUUCAUUUUUUUCUCGAACCUUCUUACAAUUCCAUAAGUACAAUGUUGUUUGUAGUUAGUAUGUCAAUCCUAUGUAGUCCUUAUUUUUAGGAAUGUUAGGAUAAUUGCCGUUUCUUACAGGCCUAAUAAUUUCCUAGUAAAACAUCUCAUAACUUUAAAUUAAUUUUAUUUGAACUCUUGUACUUGAAACAAAUGUACAACGCUGGUUGCGUAAACCUACAUAAAAUUACAAAAAAAUAUGAGCGAUAUUUAAUUAAACUUGGAGAAUACAUGAACUGGGUGGCGCACCUACAUAAAAUAACAUAAAUAUGAGGGAUAUUUAAACUUGAAGAAAGAAAUUGAAUAAAGAGGAAAAUACAAACAACGCUUAUCAACAAUUAUUGAGGAUGGACUUUUUUCCAUGACAUAUUUGUCACGUAAGUAAAAUUCUAAGCAAAACGAUCAUCAAAAUUGGUUUUAUAGUUGGAGAAUAUAUAUAAAAUUUCAUAAAUAUUACUUGGAUACCUAUUUCGGCAUUUAUAUAUGUGUCCUCCAGAAAUACACCAAAAUUAUGGUAUAUUUAAUAGAUUUUAUAAUCAAAUGGUACACUCGAAAAAAAGAAAUUUCUUAAGCAUAGAUGGACGUCAGGUGUGCGAGUCUAACUCGCACCUAACUGGUUUUUAUUUUUUCACAAGUCUAGGGGCUGUCGUUGAAAGAGUUCCCGCUGCUGAGCGCAUUAUUAAUUAUGCAAUAGGUCAACCUUGCAACAAGAGCGCACCUACCUACCAAGAAUGCACCACAAAUUUAAAAUCUAGGUAUCUAACUACCUACGCCAAAAGUACCUUGUAUACUAUAUAAAUGUGGAAUGACACUAUAUUUGCACGUAAAACAAUGUAAUGAGACCAUCUUUUUUACCUUGAUUUGCGACUCUCUCGAUCUCCUGGCUUUCCGGAUAUCCAAGAUUGGCUUUAAGACUAUAUAAUUCAGACAUGUUCUUCAUAAGAACAGAUAUCAUUGAGAAAACUAUAUUAUAGGUAGCUAGUAAAAAGUACUCAUAACCAUUCAAGGAAUGAUGCGUAUAUAUUAGAUGAUAUUUAUAAAAUACUAUAAUAUCUUUAAAUUGAUGGCGGUUACCUCGUGCUAGAUACCACUGAAACACCAUGUAUAAUAUGCGUAAAUUGUAUAUAAAAGGUAUACACCGUUAAAAAUUACGACAUUAAUCCUUUUUAUAUUUACAUUACAUGUACGCUAUUUAAUUUUAUUUAUAAAUAUACAUAUAUAUAUUUAUGUUCAAAUGAUUUUGGUUGUAAUUGUAAAGGUAUGUUUUUGUGCGAUACGUUUCUUUGGGCUUAUUCACAGAUACCCUACCGUCAUCGGCAUAUAUAGUAUAGUACUCGGCGUUUCUUGAUGUUCAUGGGCGUUGGUAGUGCUUAUCAUCAAGCGACCCUACAGCUCCUUUGCCGACUAUGACAUAAAACUUACUCUCCACUUUUAAGAUUUUCGCACUUAUUGCUACUCUUGCUUUAAUUUUGCUUUAGAAAUUUAUAUUCGAUAUUAAUUGUCUACUGUAAGUGAGGGCUGAGGGAGGCAGUUCAAUCUUAUUGUCGUGAUUACAUUCUAAAUUAUUUAAUAUGAUUUAUCUACUGAACCAAAACCAUAGUACACAAGAAUUCAAUUAUCAAUUGGUGGUGAGGGAUUGAACACCGUGCUCAACUGAGAUAGCUCCCACACUCGCCCACCCUGCUCUCCGCUGGAGGUGCGAGAUACAGCACCGCGCUCCACUCGGGUGGCUCCGGCGCUAUCGUCCACUCUGCUCAACGCCGGUGGUGCGGAUACGGUACCGCGCUCCACGCGGGUAGCUCCGGCGCUAUCUUCCACUCUGCUCUGCGCUGGUGGUGCGGAUACGGUACCGCGCUCCACGCGGGUGGCUCCGGCGCUAUCGUC